rnacentral:rRNA from 1 species
AGAUUAAGUUAUUAAGGGCGCACGGUGGAUGCCUUGGCACUAGAAGCCGAUGAAGGACGUUACUAACGACGAUAUGCUUUGGGGAGCUGUAAGUAAGCUUUGAUCCAGAGAUUUCCGAAUGGGGAAACCCAGCACGAGUUAUGUCGUGUUAUCUGCAUGUGAAUACAUAGCAUCCAAGAAGGCAGACCCGGAGAACUGAAACAUCUUAGUACCCGGAGGAAGAGAAAGAAAAAUCGAUUCCCUGAGUAGCGGCGAGCGAAACGGGAAGAGCCCAAACCAAUAAGCUUGCUUAUUGGGGUUGUAGGACACUCUGUACGGAGUUACAAAAGAAUUUGUUAGACGAAUAACCUGGAAAGGUUAAUCAGAGAAGGUAAUAAUCCUGUAGUCGAAA